rnacentral:rRNA from 1 species
AAGGGCACCACAAGAACGCGUGGAGCAUGUGGCUUAAUUUGACUCAACGCGGGAAAUCUUACCGGGUCCGGACACACUGAGGAUUGACAGGUGCUUGCAGUUACAAUUUUUUGUAACUGCUUCAAAUAUGCUAGUCCUUUCAUGAUCGUGUGAUAGGUGGUGCAUGGCCGUUCUUAGUUCGUGGAGUGAUCUGUCUGCUUAAUUGCGUUUUAAACAGGACUGUAGGCAACAAGUUGUGAUUCGAGAUUAGCCCUCUCAUUUAUUUGGGAGUUGUGCGCUCGUUUCACACAGCCUUUAACGUGUCCUUAAGGCAACGAACGUGACCGCAGCCUCUUGUUGCCUCUCUUUUCAAAAGAGCAUCAGCUGGAUGUUGCAAGGCUGUUUUUUCUGUUUGAUUUGUUAAAUUGUUUGUGGUGGCAUUUCGGUGUUGUUACUUACAGUUUUGAUGGGUUUUUCAGUUGGCAGUUGUAGCAAUGUUCGUUUAAGGUUGGUGUUCUUAGUAGAGGCAAACUAGAGGGACCGCUGACAUAAUUUUUUAACCAGAGGAAGGUUGCGGCAAUAACAGGUCUGUGAUGCCCUUAGAUGUUCCGGGCUGCACACGUGCUACAGUGAUCAUUGCAGUGAGCAUCUUAAACAGUUCGUGGGAUAUUUUUUGCUGUAUACAAUUUGAUGUACGCUUGGUCUUUUGGCCGCUUUGAAGUUUUGAUUUGCAGUUGCUUUCGGGUUUAUUGUAGGUUGGGAUUUCAUUGUGUGUUGGGGGGCUUUUGGUGUGCUCAUUCGUGUACUGGCAAGGUAUCCGCUAUCACGACACGCCCACUUCGAAAGUAAGUGGGGAAUCAAUUCGAAGUAAUGAUUUCCACCCGCAUAAUUUUCAAGUACAAUUGCUAGUCGUCUUUCGGGGCGACCUGCGAUCUGUACUGUGCUCCAUAACUUCAUGGUGGGGACAGACCCUUGUUAAUUGUUGGUCUCGGUCUCAACUAGGAAUGCCUUGUACGGGUCUUUGGUUCAACAAACCACCCGGAAUAUGUCCCUGCCCUUUGUACACACCGCCCGUCGCUCUUACCGAUGGACUUCUCUGUGAGGUUGAAGGACUGGCUCUAUGUCGCUUUAUUGCGUUAUGCCGGAAAUUUAUUCGAACAGUGUGGUCUAAAGGAAAGAGAAGUCGUAACAAGGCAUCAGUAGGUGAACCU